UGAAGAAUUGUAACUUGUGCCGCCAUGUAUUUCUAGCCUGCUAGGGAACUUGCGUCCAUACAUUUUAUUGGUGUGUUUCAAAUAUCUGUGUUGCUAGAUAUCCAUGUACCCAUUUUCGGCAAAUGCAUAGACUUGAUUAAACAAUUUUUAAGCUCCCAUGGAGUCUUUAGCUCCAGUUGAUUGUUAUUUAAAAGUUUUUGAGGUUGGUCCUGCCUUACCAGGAAACAGAACAUACAAGUGUCUGCUAUAAUAUUCAAGUUAGGAGUCACAUGAUCAUGAUUUGGGUUUAGUGAAGCAUCAUUCAAAAUACAUCACUAAUGAAUGUUAUAGAGAAAAUCUGGAUGUAGUCAGAGAGUAUGUAAUUGACAAAGGAACAUUGGGUUGAAAAUGAUUGGGCAUGCAUAAUUCUUAUUGAAAAGUUUUCACAAGAAGGGAUGUAAAUCCAGAAUUAUUCAUGAUUUGUUCAUGGAAUGGAGGAAUACAGUGAGAUGUUAAUACUUCUAUAAGAGAAGGUAUCUUAUUGAUGUUUGUAACCAAAAAAAUGAGGAGGAUGUUCAUUCAUGGUUGCUGUCAUUCUGCAUGUUAUUGUCAUUUAUGAUAAUCAACAUUAUGGAGUCAUGUGAUGCUGCAUCAAUUUUGGUGCAUGCAUAUAUUAGCUUGAUGUAUUGUCAAUCAAUGUUACUAUCAUAGUGUAUUUAUUCUCCUCUUUCUGUUUUCCAGUUAUCGUUAUUGGUGUGAUAAAAUAUGUUAAUUUUUGACAUAUUGGACUUUGACCUAAUUUCAUCUUAAUCUGGUCAGAAUAAACCCAUGUGCAAUUGAUAUGAUCCAUUAACGCACAUGGUUGCACAUUAUUAACUUCUAACAGUUGGAUUCUGUAAAAUAUGAAAAUUUUCAAAUUUUAUGCUUUGGUGUGAAGUUUUUUGAAAAAGAUCCUUUAUCGGGGUUAUACGGAGAAUUGAAGGAUGUUGUGGCUGUCCGAAGAGCAAAAUGAAACAGGGCUGAAUUUGAUUUUGGUGCUUAUCAUGUUCACUGCAGUUUGGAGAAACAUCAUGAGUUUUGUCAUUUGAGCGGAUGGAUAUAAUUUGCUUUUCGAUGAUCCUAUCAUUCUACUGCUAUUAGUCAUCAUUCUAUUGGUAUCAGUCAUCAUUCUAUUGGUAUUAGUGAUCACUGCAGUUCUGACAACAAUGAAGCCCGUUAAAGCAAAGUAGGCUGCUUUUCUUUGUCAGAUGUGUUCAUGUUUGUUAAUUGAUAUUUUUAUACCAAGUUGUCGGUUCACUUUGAUCAUUUCAGUUUUUGUAUGUUACACAUUCAUCUUUUUAUUGUUUGCUGUCAUAUUGAAGAAGUAAAUUUUGCAUGCUAUGCAGCAUGAUGUACGCAAUCUACUAGCUUAUGUAGCUCCUCUAUUUUUGGCUAACAUCAGUUCUAAUUCU
rnacentral:lncRNA from 1 species